rnacentral:rRNA from 1 species
GUUAGGAAUAUUGGACAAUGGGCGCAAGCCUGAUCCAGCCAUGCCGCGUGAGUGAUGAAGGCCUUCGGGUUGUAAAGCUCUUUAGUCCACGAAUAUAAUGACUGUAGUGGAAGAAUAAGCCCCGGCUAACUUCGUGCCAGCAGCCGCGGUAAUACGAAGGGGGCGAGCGUUAUUCGGAAUCACUGGGCGUAAAGCGUGCGUAGGCUGUUUUGUAAGUCAGAAGUGAAAGCCCAGGGCUUAACCCUGGAAUUGCUUUUGAAACUACAAGACUCAAAUUCGGGAGAGGAUAGCGGAAUUGUCAGUGUAGCAGUGAAAUGCGUAGAUAUUGACAGGAACACCAGUGGCGCAAGCGGCUAUCUGGACGAGUAUUGACGCUGAGGCACGAAAGCGUGGGGAUCAAACAGGAUUAGAUACCCGAGUAGUCC